rnacentral:lncRNA from 1 species
UGCCCAGCUUUUCUGCUUGUCUUCCCCUUCCAGGAUGUCCUGACGUCCUUUGAGAACAAAUGCCAAAUUUACAAAAUCUUGUCACCUCGACUGGACUUUUACCGGAGGUUCAUCAUGACAUUGUCAUGUUUUGGAUUGUAAUGAAAACAACCAGAGGGUGUUCAACCAGAGAAGAGAAGGCCCUGGAAAAGACUGAACCCCUAACAGAGGAAAUGGAGGAUACAGACCACCCAGGAGGAAAGAAUGGGAGAAAAUGCUUAGAUCUACAAUAUUCAGACAACCAGUGAAGUGUGCUAUAUAGAGUUAAACACCCUGCACCAACCAAGAAGGAUCAGGAUGUGGGUAGGAACAAGGGCAAAGCAUGAGAGUCUACAUUGGAGAGGACAGAAAGGAGGACAAGGCUUGAGGGACAGUGCUGAGGAAGAAUGGCCCAUCCUGGAGUUCCAAGGAGCAAGAAGUCAGCUGUGGUCAAAGUGGACUCAAAGACUCAAGCCAAGGUUGUCUGGGAUAAUGGUGCCUCCAGGAAUGGACAUGGAAGUCUGAAGGAAACCAUUGUCUGGGGGAGAAUAUGAGGAGUCUGAGCUGCUACCAGAAAUCCAUGAGGAAUCCCACAGACCACUGGAAACAAGGGUCUGGGACUGAAGACAGAGCUUAGGGCUAACUGUAUGCAUGGACAGUGGAUGCUCUAGGGUGAACAUGGGCUCUGGGUUCAAAUCCCAGCUCUGCCACUUGUGAGCCCUGUGACCUUGAUAGGACACUUUGA